CACUGGAGGACCGAACCAGGGCACGUUGAAAAGUGCUUGGAUGACUUGUGGGUAGCGGAGAAAUUCCAAACGAACUUGGAGAUAGCUGGUUCUCUCCGAAAUAGCUUUAGGGCUAGCGUCGACAUUAGAGAUUCUUGGAGGUAGAGCACUGUUUGGGUGAGGGGUCCAUCCCGGAUUACCAAUCUCAGAUAAACUCCGAAUGCCAAUGAAUUAUGGUCGGCAGUCAGACUGCGAGUGCUAAGAUCCGUAGUCGAAAGGGAAACAGCCCAGACCACCAGCUAAGGUCCCAAAAUAAUUGUUAAGUGGAAAAGGAUGUGGGGUUGCACAGACAACUAGGAUGUUAGCUUAGAAGCAGCUAUUCAUUCAAAGAGUGCGUAAUAGCUCACUAGUCGAGUGACCCUGCGCCGAAAAUGUACCGGGGCUAAAACAAUUUACCGAAGCUGUGGAUACCUUUAUAGGUAUGGUAGGAGAGCGUUCUAUGUGUGAUGAAGGUGUACCGUGAGGAGCGCUGGAACGCAUAGAAGUGAGAAUGCCGGUAUGAGUAGCGAAAGACAGGUGAGAAUCCUGUCCACCGUAAGACUAAGGUUUCCAGGGGAAGGCUCGUCCGCCCUGGGUUAGUCGGGACCUAAGGAGAGACCGAAAGGUGUAUCCGAUGGACAACAGGUUGAUAUUCCUGUACUAGAGUAUGUAGUGAUGGAGGGACGCAGUAGGCUAACUAAAGCAGACGAUUGGAAGUGUCUGUCUAAGCAGUGAGGUGUGAACUGAGUCAAAUGCUUAGUUCUAUAACAUUGAGCUGUGAUGGGGAGCGAAGUUUAGUAGCGAAGUUAGUGACGUCACACUGCCAAGAAAAGCUUCUAGCGUUUAAACAUACUCUACCCGUACCGCAAACCGACACAGGUAGUCGAGGCGAGUAGCCUCAGGUGAGCGAGAGAACUCUCGUUAAGGAACUCGGCAAAAUGACCCCGUAACUUCGGGAGAAGGGGUGCUGACUUUAAGUCAGCCGCAGUGAAUAGGCCCAAGCAACUGUUUAUCAAAAACACAGCUCUCUGCUAAAUCGUAAGAUGAUGUAUAGGGGGUGACGCCUGCCCGGUGCUGGAAGGUUAAGAGGAGUGCUUAGCGUAAGCGAAGGUAUGAAUUGAAGCCCCAGUAAACGGCGGCCGUAACUAUAACGGUCCUAAGGUAGCGAAAUUCCUUGUCGGGUAAGUUCCGACCCGCACGAAAGGCGUAAUGAUUUGGGCACUGUCUCAACGAGAGACUCGGUGAAAUUUUAGUACCUGUGAAGAUGCAGGUUACCCGCGACAGGACGGAAAGACCCCAUGGAGCUUUAC
rnacentral:rRNA from 1 species